rnacentral:rRNA from 1 species
UACGUAGGGUGCAAGCGUUAAUCGGAAUUACUGGGCGUAAAGCGUGCGCAGGCGGCUUUGCAAGACAGAUGUGAAAUCCCCGGGCUCAACCUGGGAACUGCAUUGUGACUGCAAGGCUAGAGUACGGUAGAGGGGGAUGGAAUUCCGCGUGUAGCAGUGAAAUGCGUAGAUAUGCGGAGGAACACCGAUGGCGAAGGCAAUCCCCUGGACCUGUACUGACGCUCAUGCACGAAAGCGUGGGGAGCAACAGG